AUACACUAAUAUCAUAAUAUCGAAAUAAAUAUAAAAAUUAAAUGAAAAACCAUUUUAAGUGCAUUUCGUAUUACAUUUUCGAGAAUUUAAAUCCAUAUUUUAUAGUAUUUAUUGUGCACUUAUAUGGUUUUUCACUGCGUUCAAUUAACAGCCCUGGUGAUAAUGGUACCGACAUAACAUUAAUAUUAUAUGAUUAACAGUGAUAAAAUAUUACAUUUAUAGUUUUUGAGUUUUCGUCGAAGUCGAGUUUGCACGAAAAUCGCUGUAAAUUCGUUUUAUAAAAAUUCAUUUCAUCCGGGUGUUUCUCUACCUACGCGCGAUAUCUGAAAAAUCGUAUGAUGCUGCAGUAGACCUUUCACACGAGUGCGUCCGUCCGGCAUCAGCGUCAUUCGCCUUACAUGUCAUGUCCGUAUUAACACCGAUCCAGUACCGUACUGUCAGUAGGCAUUUGUGUGUAAUGAACUUCAACGGUACACUAUUGAGGGCGUUUCGCUGUCAAAAGUUUCUGGUUUUACUGUAUUUAUACGAAUAUUUUCCUGCUUAAAAUUUUUAAAACUCAGAAGAACUAACUCCUAUACAUACUGAUCGAUUUAUUGUAAAUACGACCAACGCCAAACACAAACACCGUAUUUAGAAAGUCGUUUGUCAUUAAAAAUACUAAAAACAUACCCCAAAUGAUUAUUGACAUUGUUCCAUGAAAAUGAGAGAUUCAAAAUCAGAAAAAACAAACCCGUUUUUUUUCCGAAAAAUAG